rnacentral:tRNA from 1 species
GCGGAUAUGGUUUAGUGGUAAAAUACCUCCUUGCCAAGGAGAUAACGCGGGUUCGAUUCCCGCUAUCCGCC